rnacentral:rRNA from 1 species
GUGGGGAAUAUUGGACAAUGGGGGGAACCCUGAUCCAGCCAUGCCGCGUGUGUGAAGAAGGCCUUUUGGUUGUAAAGCACUUUAAGUUGGGAGGAAGGGUAGUAACCUAAUACGUUGCUACUUUGACGUUACCGACAGAAUAAGCACCGGCUAACUUCGUGCCAGCAGCCGCGGUAAUACGAAGGGUGCAAGCGUUAAUCGGAAUUACUGGGCGUAAAGCGCGCGUAGGUGGUUCAGUAAGUUGGAAGUGAAAUCCCCGGGCUCAACCUGGGAACUGCUUUCAAAACUGCUGAGCUAGAGUACGGUAGAGGGUGGUGGAAUUUCCUGUGUAGCGGUGAAAUGCGUAGAUAUAGGAAGGAACACCAGUGGCGAAGGCGACCACCUGGACUGAUACUGACACUGAGGUGCGAAAGCGUGGGGAGCAAACAGGAUUAGAAACCCCUGUAGUCC